rfam:Planctomycetes bacterium GWC2_45_44 gwc2_scaffold_4542, whole genome shotgun sequence.
CCCAGGGCGUUGCCCUGGGCUGAUAUAUUUUGCCCUUUCAGGGCU